GACGAACGCUGGCGGCGUGCUUAACACAUGCAAGUCGAACGGAGGAUUUAUUUCGGUAAAUCCUUAGUGGCGAACGGGUGAGUAACGCGUGGGCAAUCUGCCCUUCAGAUGGGGACAACAUCCCGAAAGGGGUGCUAAUACCGAAUACGAUCACGCUGCCGCAUGGCGGUGUGAUGAAAGAUGGCCUCUAUUUAUAAGCUAUCGCUGAAGGAUGAGCCUGCGUCUGAUUAGCUAGUUGGUGGGGUAACGGCCUACCAAGGCGAUGAUCAGUAGCCGGUCUGAGAGGAUGAACGGCCACAUUGGGACUGAGACACGGCCCAAACUCCUACGGGAGGCAGCAGUGGGGAAUAUUCCGCAAUGGACGAAAGUCUGACGGAGCAACGCCGCGUGAGUGAUGAAGGUUUUCGGACUGUAAAGCUCUGUUGUUUAGGACGAAAGUGCCUGUUGCGAACAGUUACAGGUAUUGACGGUACUGAACGAGGAAGCCACGGCUAACUACGUGCCAGCCGCCGCAGUAA
rnacentral:rRNA from 1 species